GAUGAACGCUGGCGGCGUGCCUAAUACAUGCCAGUCGAGCGAACGGACGAGAAGCUUGCUCCUCUGAUGUUAGCGGCGGACGGGUGAGUAACACGUGGAUAACCUACCUAUAAGACUGGGAUAACUUCGGGAAACCGGAGCUAAUACCGGAUAAUAUUUUGAACCGCAUGGUUCAAAAGUGAAAGACGGUUUUGCUGUCACUUAUAGAUGGAUCCGCGCUGCAUUAGCUAGUUGGUAAGGUAACGGCUUACCAAGGCAACGAUGCAUAGCCGACCUGAGAGGGUGAUCGGCCACACUGGAACUGAGACACGGUCCAGACUCCUACGGGAGGCAGCAGUAGGGAAUCUUCCGCAAUGGGCGAAAGCCUGACGGAGCAACGCCGCGUGAGUGAUGAAGGUCUUCGGAUCGUAAAACUCUGUUAUUAGGGAAGAACAUAUGUGUAAGUAACUGUGCACAUCUUGACGGUACCUAAUCAGAAAGCCACGGCUAACUACGUG
rnacentral:rRNA from 1 species